rnacentral:rRNA from 1 species
UACGAAAGGUGCAAGCGUUACUCGGAAUCACUGGGCGUAAAGCGCACGUAGGCGGACUCGUAGGUCAGUUGUGAAAUACCUGGGCUCAACCCGGGAACUGCAGCUGAAACCGCUUGUCUUGAAUACCUGAGAGGGUGGGGGAAUACCUGGUGGAGAAGUGAAAUUCGUAGAGAUCAGGUGGAACACCGAUGGCGAAGGCAGGUCUCUGGGCAUUAACUGACGCUGAGGAGCGAAAGCAUGGGGAGCGAACAGG